AAGAUUAAGCCAUGCAUGUCUAAGUAUAAGCGAAUAUACAGUGAAACUGCGAAUGGCUCAUUAAAUCAGUUAUCGUUUAUUUGAUAGUACCUUGCUAAUUGGCAUACGCCUGGCAAUUCUAGAGCUAAUACAUGCACACAAGCCCAACUCACGGAGGGCUGUAUUUAUUAGAUAAAAAUCAACAUCCAAGAUGAUUCAUAAUAACUUUUCGAAUCGCAU
rnacentral:rRNA from 1 species